CACCGGCCGCAGCAGGUCCGAGGUCAGCGUCGCCAUCUCGCUCGCUCGCUCGCCAGCCGCCGGUCCGGGAUUGGAUUGCCGAGAGUGGGGAGGCAAAAUCGAGAGUGGGGAGGCAAAAUCGCAGUCAUAGUUGGUACUUGGCGGCAUUCAUCCUCCUAUGGAAGCUGAAUAACGAACUAGUUCUGUUCUCAUGGAAUGUCAUUGGCGGUGACAUUAUCCGCUACCUGAAAUCUGGUGCUUUGCUAAUUGCCAGGACCAUCGCUGUAAUCCUUCCAUUAUGAGAUAAGCUUGAAAGUCUGGCUAACAAUUUCUCUACUUAAUGAUGCACUGGCUCUUGCUGGUCAGGCUCUACUUGCAAGUGAAUAUGCGAAAGGGAACUACAAGCAGGCCCGCUUGGUUUUGUACAGAGUUCUGCAGAUUGGAGGUGUCACUGGUCUUGCACUUGCUGCGACCUUGUUCCUUGGGUUUGGAUAUUUGACCUUGUUAUUUACAGAUGAUCCAGCA